AACAUAUAAGUAAGCGGAGGAUCAGAAACUAAACAGGAUUCCCCUAGUAAUGGCGAAUGAACAGGGAAAAGCUCAGCUUGGAAAUCAAGGCCUUCGGUCUUGAGUUGUAGUUUUGAGAUGUACUGCCAACAGAGGCGCAGAUGUAAGCCUCUUGGAAAAGAGUGUCAAUGAGGGUGAGAACCCCGUUUGUCAUCUGCAGUCCCCUGUGUACGGUGUGCCUUCUACGAGUCACGUUCCUUGGGAUUGGAGCGCAAAUUGGGUGGUAAAUUUCAUCUAAAGCUAAAUAUUUGUUUGAGACCGAUUGCAAACAAGUACCAUGAGGGAAAGGUGAAAAGGACUUUGAAAAGAGAGUUAAAAGUGCUUGAAAUUGCUGAGAGGGAAGCGAAGGGAAUCAGUUCAUCUUGGCGAGAUUGUUGUGUGCUCAGGUGAUGACUUGUUGCCAUAACGCAAGUGUUGCAACACGUGUUAAUCUGUAUGUGCAUGGUGCAUCUUGCCUUGUGUGUCAACAUCAGCUUAGGGCUGAGGAAAACUAGAAGGACAUGGUAAUCCGCCUAUGGGUGGGUGAACGUCCUUGGGAGAACUCACUCUUGAACUGAUGGAUGACAAGAUGGUUUUCUUCGACCCGUCCUAGAAGGGCAGGGAGAGAGAUCUUUUUUA
rnacentral:rRNA from 1 species